rnacentral:rRNA from 1 species
UACGUAGGGGGCAAGCGUUGUCCGGAAUCAUUGGGCGUAAAGCGCGUGUAGGCGGCCCGAUAAGUCCGCUGUGAAAGUCCAGGGCUCAACCCUGGAAUGCCGGUGGAUACUGUCGGGCUCGAGUUCGGAAGAGGUGAGUGGAAUUCCUGGUGUAGCGGUGAAAUGCGCAGAUAUCGGGAGGAACACCUAUGGCGAAGGCAGCUCGCUGGGACGUUACUGACGCUGAGACGCGAAAGCGUGGGGAGCAAACAGG